AUACAAAACAUUUCUGGGUGAAAAGAGAAGCAAUGGAGCAGGCAAACAAAAGUGCCCAUGAGAACAUCUCCAAGGCCCAAUUAAAAUAGAGACUUGCUUAUGAGAAAAGAGUUCUAAAGAAGCACAAGGAUGUGGUGUACACUGUUGGACAAGAGGUUCUUCUUUUCAACAUGAGAAAGCGAGGAAGGAAAGGGGGAUGAAUUGAGCCUGAUUUCAACGGCCCAUACACGAUCCAGGAAAUUCAAGGAAAGCUAGUGACUUUGUCAACUGCAGAGGGUCUACCACUAAAAACUAAAUACAGCAUGGAUCACAUAAAACCUUAUAAAAGGAGUUUGGAACAGGAAGACAGCCCAAUUCCCACGAAAUGCCCACACUUGCAAACCCCAAUUGAAGAACCACAAAAAAGGCCUACAGUUAUUGCCUAUGUCCUUCCUGAAGAAGAAAUGUCAAAAAGAUUUGGGCUUCAGAUGACAAGGGAAAUGUCGAAGCAGUUGUUGGCCCUUACCGUUUG